rnacentral:rRNA from 1 species
GAUGAACGCUAGCGAUAGGCUUAACACAUGCAAGUCGAGGGGCAGCAUGGUCUUAGCUUGCUAAGGCUGAUGGCGACCGGCGCACGGGUGCGUAACGCGUAUGCAACUUGCCUCACAGAGGGGGAUAACCCGUCGAAAGACGGACUAAUACCGCGUACACUCUAUGUUGGGCAUCCAAUGUAGAGGAAAUGAAAUUCGCUGUGAGAUAGGCAUGCGCCCCAUUAGCUAGUUGGUGAGGUAACGGCUCACCAAGGCGACGAUGGGUAGGGGAACUGAGAGGUUGAACCCCCACACUGGUACUGAGACACGGACCAGACUCCUACGGGAGGCAGCAGUGAGGAAUAUUGGUCAAUGGGCGAGAGCCUGAACCAGCCAAGUCGCGUGAAGGAUGACUGUCUUAUGGAUUGUAAACUUCUUUUAUACGGGAAUAACAAGAGUCACGUGUGGCUCCCUGCAUGUACCGUAUGAAUAAGCAUCGGCUAACUCCGUG